rnacentral:rRNA from 1 species
AUUGAACGCUGGCGGCAGGCUUAACACAUGCAAGUCGAGCGGGGUGAUGGUGCUUGCACUAUCACUUAGCGGCGGACGGGUGAGUAAUGCUUAGGAAUCUGCCUAUUAGUGGGGGACAACAUCUCGAAAGGGAUGCUAAUACCGCAUACGUCCUACGGGAGAAAGCAGGGGAUCACUUGUGACCUUGCGCUAAUAGAUGAGCCUAAGUCGGAUUAGCUAGUUGGUGGGGUAAAGGCUCACCUAGGCGACGAGCAGUAGCGGGUCUGAGAGGAUGAUCCGCCACACUGGGACUGAGACACGGCCCAGACUCCUACGGGAGGCAGCAGUGGGGAAUUUUGGACAAUGGGCAAAAGCCUGAUCCAGCCAUGCCGCGUGUCUGAAGAAGGCCUUCGGGUUGUAAAGGACUUUUGUCAGGGAGGAAAUCCCUAGUGCUAAUAACACUGGGGGAUGACAGUACCUGAAGAAUAAGCACCGGCUAACUACGUGCCAGCCGCCGCAGUAA